rnacentral:sRNA from 1 species
AUUCUGCCCAUGCGGGGAAGGAUGAGAAGCUUCGACUAAGGUUCGACUCGAGCGCCAGCGAGAGAGCGUUGCCGCAGGCAACGACCCGAAGGGCGAAGCGCGCAGCGCUGAGUA